rnacentral:tRNA from 1 species
GUCCCCGUAGCUCAAUUGGAUAGAGCAGCUCCGUCCUAAGGAGAAGACUAGAGGUUCAACUCCUCUCGGGGACA